rnacentral:rRNA from 1 species
GAUGAACGCUGGCGGCGUGCCUAAUACAUGCAAGUCGAGCGAACGGACGAGAAGCUUGCUUCUCUGAUGUUAGCGGCGGACGGGUGAGUAACACGUGGAUAACCUACCUAUAAGACUGGGAUAACUUCGGGAAACCGGAGCUAAUACCGGAUAAUAUUUUGAACCGCAUGGUUCAAAAGUGAAAGACGGUCUUGCUGUCACUUAUAGAUGGAUCCGCGCUGCAUUAGCUAGUUGGUAAGGUAACGGCUUACCAAGGCAACGAUGCAUAGCCGACCUGAGAGGGUGAUCGGCCACACUGGAACUGAGACACGGUCCAGACUCCUACGGGAGGCAGCAGUAGGGAAUCUUCCGCAAUGGGCGAAAGCCUGACGGAGCAACGCCGCGUGAGUGAUGAAGGUCUUCGGAUCGUAAAACUCUGUUAUUAGGGAAGAACAUAUGUGUAAGUAACUGUGCACAUCUUGACGGCACCUAGUCAGAAAGCCACGGCUAACUACGUG